UUUCCCUCUUAGUAAAAAAAGAACUCUCCUGUCCUACCAUACGAUCCCCACCAGGCACCUCAUACACAUCCGCCAUUUCUUCCGAUUUGCCGCCGGCGAAGGACGACGUCGCUGUGCCCCAUCAGGAAACUAAUCCUCAUGCUAUCCCAGAUCCACAUGUCGCUUCUUUUCUCGUGAUUUUUCUUCCUUGGUGGUGGCACAUGUGGCUGGGUGAGCGUGUGGAUCUCGGCGAACUCGUCGACUCUGGCAACGCGGUCACGGAGAUGUAUAGUGAGAACGUGGGCUGUCCUACUCAAAGUUGUCGUAGCUGGAGUUUCUGGAUGUUGGGGCUGCGAAGGCAUUGAGGGAGUUCGCGGAGGAAGAAAUAUCUGCAAGACGUGAGUAUCUUCUGCGAGUCGAUGUUAGUUGUUGCCCUCCUGCUAUCCAGACUUCUACCAAAUCACGAAGGGCCACUUCAAGUCGCUUGGUGACAUAAUAAUUUCAGGAGCAUCACCUGCAAACCUACCUUCAGUUUUAGAUCGUGGAUUGGAAUUCCUGGGAAGAUCAUGUUGUUGAGGAACUCUGCUGGACACAUAUUCUCCAUUGUGUUGUAAUUCAUUGUUGCCUUGCAUACAGUGUCCAAGUAUAGUAUUGCUCUUUCUUCGACAAAUUCACUAUUACGAUAGUUUUGCUGCAAGUUUGGGGUGUCCAUAGUAGAUUCUUCCAAUAGCGAAGCCCCUUUUCCGCUCCUCAGGUUUUGGUUUCGCUUUUCCAUACUAAUUUUGAUGGUAAUUCGGCAUAGGUUAAUUGUUUUCCCACCUCAUGUAUUUUGUUUGCCUCCAUCCACUCAGUGAACUUAGUACUCGUGGAUCCUGGCCUUCUUACUAUCUUCUCUAUGUCAAUCGAGUCCGGAAAAAUAAGUUCUUGCUCAUUUUUAAUGUGGAAUGGUAGUCUCACGACUGGUGGAUCAUGAUGGUGUAUAUCAAACAGGAAUGUCUGCCAGCAUGCUUCAGUUGUUGAUAUGUAUCUCAUCUCUAGGUAUUUCUUGAUGUCAUCAUAGUCAUUUGCUGCAUCUCUUCCCUUUAGCAAGGUUGUUACCUGGUCAUCAUCUUUAUGGAUGUUCUUAAAUAGGUAGGUACUUGAUUAACCUUGGCCUGUGGCACCACUCAACAUUUAUGUGAGCUUGGAAUUGGCCAAAAGGUUUCGAUUGUAGGGUACGACAAAUCUGUCGUUGAACAUUACUCCUCCCUUUUUGAUCUUCCUUCCAUUAUCUCGCCUUCUAUAAGCCAUCCUCAUCGUUUGUGGUAUCGACAUUGUAUCCUUUUGGGAAGUGCUUAGUGCAUCUGUUGCCAAUCAUGCAUGGUGAUUUUGUAUUUGACACUCCGCAAGGCCCGUGCAUCAUGAAAUUUUCCACAGUUUCAUAUCCGUCCAGAUCGUCAUCUUUGUCUAGGAUCUCCGCACCGAUUAUUUGGUCGAUUUGUGAUGUUACUUUGCACGUGUAUCAUAUCUAGGCUAAUAAGCUCAUCGGUGGUAGGAUUGACUCAAUCCCAUAUUCACAUUUGUUUUACUUGAAUGUUCCAGUUAUGUCCCCUUGUAUUUAAGUCGCUCAACUUGUUGCAUGCCAUAGUGUUUUGCGUUGAAUAUUAAUAGGGAACAAUUUGUCAAUUGAUACAAUAUUUAUAAAGAUUAUAUCUAGAGAAAAUAAGACUGUUAAUAACAAUUACUAAAUUAUCUGAUGAUUCAGGCCAAAAGUGCUUUGGCGUCCCUUCUUCCAUGUCGAUUAGAGUAGCUGGGCAUGGCUUCGUCAUGCGUUGAGCGUGCUUUGGCGUGACUUUAUCGAAUGUCAAGUGAAGCGGCUAGAGGUGGCUGAGGUGUCUUUUCGUGUCGACGUCGAGUUGCCUAGUCACGUGUGAUGUCUUUGCUGACUUCUAAUUCUUUGGGUGUGUGCUUCUGCGGCCGGCUGUACUCAUUUAUAUAUGGGUGGAGGUGUGUGGGUUGAGGUGGCUGUGACCGUGUGGAAAGCAGAUCGGGCUUUUUUCGUUUCAUGGUUCUUGUUUUGGAAGUUUCUCAUGUGAGGUCUCGUUAGGUCCAAUCAUUGUCUUUAUUUGUUUAGGUUUCCUAUUAUUUUUGAUUCCUUGACGAUUGAAAGAUUUUUUUUCUGUUUCUGUGGGCUAGUUGACGUUCGGAUGGAACCUACGUGCGUUGUUUGCACAUGGCAUGUUUUACUACUUGUACAUGUACACAUAUUUUUACGUAACGUUUCCAUCUUUUAAUCUCAGCUGUUAAAAGAUAAAAUAAAUGAUCAAAAUAAUUUAAUCUAUAUGGAUUCAUGUAAUGGUUUGUUUUACUUCUGUUUUAAGUAUAUAAUAGAUACUAUAGAUGCAUGCUGUAUAGCGGUCGAUGUGUGUAAUAGUAGUAGAUGUAGAAUCGUUUCGGUCUACUUGUCGCGGAUGUGAUGCCUAUAUAUAUGAUCAUUCCUAG